rnacentral:rRNA from 1 species
UAGAGUUUGAUCCUGGCUCAGGACGAACGCUGGCGGCGUGCCUAAUACAUGCAAGUCGAGCGGACAGAUGGGAGCUUGCUCCCUGAUGUUAGCGGCGGACGGGUGAGUAACACGUGGGUAACCUGCCUGUAAGACUGGGAUAACUCCGGGAAACCGGGGCUAAUACCGGAUCUUGUUUGAACCGCAUGGUUCAAACAUAAAAGGUGGCUUCGGCUACCACUUACAGAUGGACCCGCGGCGCAUUAGCUAGUUGGUGAGGUAACGGCUCACCAAGGCAACGAUGCGUAGCCGACCUGAGAGGGUGAUCGGCCACACUGGGACUGAGACACGGCCCAGACUCCUACGGGAGGCAGCAGUAGGGAAUCUUCCGCAAUGGACGAAAGUCUGACGGAGCAACGCCGCGUGAGUGAUGAAGGUUUUCGGAUCGUAAAGCUCUGUUGUUAGGGAAGAACAAGUACCGUUCGAAUAGGGCGGUACCUUGACGGUACCUAACCAGAAAGCCACGGCUAACUACGUGCCAGCAGCCGCGGUAAUACGUAGGUGGCAAGCGUUGUCCGGAAUUAUUGGGCGUAAAGGGCUCGCAGGCGGUUUCUUAAGUCUGAUGUGAAAGCCCCCGGCUCAACCGGGGAGGGUCAUUGGAAACUGGGGAACUUGAGUGCAGAAGAGGAGAGUGGAAUUCCACGUGUAGCGGUAAAUGCGUAGAGAUGUGGAGGAACACCAGUGGCGAAGGCGAC